AGAGACUGCAAGCGUUAUUCGGAUUCACUGGGCGUAAAGGGUGCGCAGGCGGCCAAGUGUGUGAGGCGUGAAAGCCCGGGGCUUAACCCCGGAAUUGCACCUCAAACUACAUGGCUAGAGCAUUGGAGAGGGUAGCGGAAUUCACGGUGUAGCAGUGAAAUGCGUAGAUAUCGUGAGGAACACCAGAGGCGAAGGCGGCUACCUGGACAAUUGCUGACGCUCAGGCACGAAAGCGUGGGGAGCAAAAGGGAUUAGAUACCCCUGUAGUCCACGCCCUAAACGGUGCACACUAGGUCUUGGCGGAUUCGACCCCACCAGGGCCCAAGCUAACGCGUUAAGUGUGCCGCCUGAGGACUACGGCCGCAAGGCUA
rnacentral:rRNA from 1 species